rnacentral:rRNA from 1 species
ACGGUCCUAAGGUAGCGAAAUUCCUUGUCGGGUAAGUUCCGACCUGCACGAAUGGCAUAACGAUGGCCACACUGUCUCCUCCCGAGACUCAGUGAAGUUGAAAUGUUUGUGAUGAUGCAAUCUACCCGCGGCUAGACGGAAAGACCCCAUGAACCUUUACUGCAGCUUUGCAUUGAACUGUGAACCGAUUUGUGUAGGAUAGGUGGGAGGCAGAGAAGAGGCCACGCCAGUGGUCUUGGAGCCGACCUUGAAAUACCACCCUGAUUUGUUUGCGGUUCUAACCACGGACAGUGAUCCUGUCUUGGGACCGUGCAUGGUAGGCAGUUUGACUGGGGCGGUCUCCUCCUAAAGGGUAACGGAGGAGUACGAAGGUACGCUAGGUACGGUCGGAAAUCGUGCUGAUAGUGCAAUGGCAAAAGCGUGCUUGACUGCGAGAGCAACAACUCGAGCAGAUGCGAAAGCAGGUCAUAGUGAUCCGGUGGCUCUGAAUGGAAGGGCCAUCGCUCAACGGAUAAAAGGUACUCCGGGGAUAACAGGCUGAUACCGCCCAAGAGUUCAUAUCGACGGCGGUGUUUGGCACCUCGAUGUCGGCUCAUCACAUCCUGGGGCUGAAGUAGGUCCCAAGGGUAUGGCUGUUCGCCAUUUAAAGUGGUACGCGAGCUGGGUUUAGAACGUCGUGAGACAGUUCGGUCCCUAUCUGCCGUGGGCGUUGGAGAAUUGAUUGGGGCUGCUCCUAGUACGAGAGGACCGGAGUGGACGCAUCACUGGUGUUCCAGUUGUCUCGCCAGAGGCAUUGCUGGGUAGCUACAUGCGGAAGAGAUAAGUGCUGAAAGCAUCUAAGCACGAAACUUGCCAAGAGAUGAGUUCUCCCUGUCUUUAAGACAGUAAGGGUUGUUUAAGACUAAGACGUAGAUAGGUGCGGUGUGUAAGUGUAGUGAUACAUUGAGCUAACGCAUACUAAUUGCCCGAGAGGCUUAGCCAU